rnacentral:tRNA from 1 species
CAGCCGCUGGGUGAUGCGCUGGUCCAGCUCGGCCUCGAUCCGGGCGGUGACGUCUCCCUUGUUCGAGACGAAGGCGGCGGC